rnacentral:rRNA from 1 species
AUUGAACGCUGGCGGCAUGCCUUACACAUGCAAGUCGAACGGCAGCAUAGGAGCUUGCUCCUGAUGGCGAGUGGCGAACGGGUGAGUAAUAUAUCGGAACGUGCCCUAGAGUGGGGGAUAACUAGUCGAAAGACUAGCUAAUACCGCAUACGAUCUACGGAUGAAAGUGGGGGAUCGCAAGACCUCAUGCUCCUGGAGCGGCCGAUAUCUGAUUAGCUAGUUGGGGGGGUAAAAGCCUACCAAGGCAACGAUUAGUAGCUGGUCUGAGCGGACGACCAGCGACACUGGGACGGAGGCACGGCCCAGAAUCCUGCGGGAGGCAGCAGUGGGGAAUUUUGGACAAUGGGGGCAACCCUGAUCCAGCAAUGCCGCGUGAGUGAAGAAGGCCUUCGGGUUGUAAAGCUCUUUUGUCAGGGAAGAAACGGUAGUAGCGAAUAACUACUACUAAUGACGGUACCUGAAGAAUAAGCACCGGCUAACUACGUGCCAGCAGCCGCCGUAA